rnacentral:rRNA from 1 species
UACGAGGGGGGCAAAUGUUGUUCGGAAUCAUUGGGCGUAAAGGGUGCGUAGGCGGCGCGGUAAGUCGGGUGUGAAAUCUCGGAGCUUAACUCCGAAACUGCAUUCGAUACUGCCGUGCUUGAGGACUGGAGAGGAGACUGGAAUUUACGGUGUAGCGGUGAAAUGCGUAGAUAUCGUAAGGAAGUCCAGUGGCGAAGGCGGGUCUCUGGACAGUUCCUGACGCUGAGGCACGAAGGUCAGGGGAGCAAACGGG